rnacentral:ncRNA from 3 species
AGGAGCCGGAUGAUGCGAGAGUAUCACGUCCGGAUCUGUGAGCGGCCGAGGGUGAAACUCCCUCGGCCUACUCGAC